rnacentral:ncRNA from 2 species
CUAGAGAUUGGAUUUGGGAAACUCCGGUGAAAUUCCGGGACUGUGCCGCAGCUGUGAUGGGAUUACCCAAGUCAGAAUGCCAAUUCCAAG